CAUGUUAUUUUAAACAAGAAUUAUUUUCUGAAUCGGACCAAUUUUCUUUGUUGUUCAAGAGACCAGCAAGUUCCACAUAAGAAGACUAUAUGCACACACACGCUUGAAAAAAGGGUAUUUAGGGAGUCGGGCUGUAGCACAGCGGGUUAAGCGCAGGUGGCACAAAGCACAAGGACCAGAGUCAGGAUCCCGGUUCCAGCCCCGGCUCCCCACCUACAGGGGAGUCGCUUCACAGGCGGUGAAGCAGGUCUGCAGGUGUCUGUCUUUCUCUCCACCUCUGUCUUCCCCUCCUCUCUCCAUUUCUCUCUGUCCUAUCCAACAA